GCAGCAUCCAGCUGCCUCCCCGCUGGAAAAGAGGGAUUUCUCCUCGCUGCUGUUUUUCCCUCAGCAGAUUCCAGCUCAGUCCGUCUGGAGCAGCGGCGGGGAUGAGCGCAGGGGGCCCAGGAGGCGACGUAACGAGGCAUUUCACAGUGAUGGCCUUAGCUGCGCAGCUGUGCCGGUAAUCCUGCCGCUGCACAAAGAGACGCCUUGACAACCGACCUACCUUCCUCUCUCUCUCACAAAAAAAGGCAUAGAGAGGAAAAAAAGAAAAUACGGAGGCAUAAACAAAUGCGACCAUGUACAGUGUGGAGGACCUCCUCAUCUCUCAUGGAUACAAGCUGCCCAUGCAUACCACCUCCUCCUCCAUCCCUACCCCGGCCCCCGCCUCCUUGUCCCGCCAGCAGCCUUCGUCCUCACCGCCGUCCUACAGCCGACACCAUGAAUUCCUGGAGAACAGGCCCAGGAUGUCUUAUGGGAACGGGAGCGAAUCCAGGCAGCCACAAGGGUACGCCAGCGGCUGUCCCAACAACAACAACGGACCCAGGGACAGGGGCCAGUCCAGGCGGGAGGGCGAGAACCGGUGCCAAAUGGACACCCACUCCUUGGGAGAGUCGCUGACCUCAGACAGCGGG
ensembl:lncRNA